AUAUGUACACUUUAACGUGACUCACACUGUAUUAAUAUUUUUAUAGCACACCAUAUAGUCACAGAAAUAUAUUUAUAGCUGUGUGUGUAGUCUCUCGAAAAUUAGUAUAGAAAAUGUAUAGUAAUAUGCCUAGCUAUAAAAAUAUUAUUAUAUAUUAUAGCUAAGUCUGUGACAGGCUUUAAUCGGACGACUUUGUCUCUAUUGCUACACCAUCAUGCUUCUUUUGCUUGGCUUUCAUUAUAAUAUUUUAAUGGGCGAAAGGCAACUUAAAGGUUGAUUACAAAAAAUUUUAUUAAAAAUAACAAAAAAAUAUUUAAUUACAAAAAAAAAAAAUUACAGUGAUAUCAUUGUUAUAAUUGAUACAGAAUUACUUUACAAGAAAAGAAAGUCCAAUCGUCGUAAACCGAUCGCCAAACCAGUGUUCCAAGCUGAUCGACCCUUCCAGUUAUUCAUCGUAGAAGAAUUUGACACCGUACUCUUCACUGCCAAGUACAGAGGGAAUAUAAAUUAACCUAUUAAUUGGUGACAAAAAGUGCAAGCGUCUUAAACCGCUCGCCAGACCUGCGUUCCGAGCUGAUCGACCCUUCCAGUUAUUCAUCGUAGAAGAGUUUGACACCGUACUCUUCACUGCCAACUACAGAG